GACGUAGGGCGCGAGCGUUGUCCGGAUUUAUUGGGCGUAAAGAGCUCGUAGGCGGCUCGUUGCGUCGGCUGUGAAAACCCGCAGCUCAACUGUGGGCUUGCAGCCGAUACGGGCGGGCUAGGAUUCGGUAGGGGAGACUGGAAUUCCUGGUGUAGCGGUGAAAUGCGCAGAUAUCAGGAGGAACACCGGUGGCGAAGGCGGCAUCCUGGACCGGUAUUGACGCUGAGGCGCGAAAGCUAGGGGAGCAAACGGG
rnacentral:rRNA from 1 species